rnacentral:lncRNA from 1 species
UGCUACCGCCAAGUAACAGAGGAAGUGAUACAUCACACCUGUGCCCAGGAGCAACACUUCAAAGUGUGUCAGGCUGAAAAAUAUCACAGAGGACAAUUCCCUAAGGAAUGACGGACCAACAAGAUGAAAAGUAGCAGGAUCCUGGAAGGACUGGAACAGCUGCCAACUGGACUCUCAUCACAGACUUGGCGAAAGACUUGGGAAUUAUCCGUCCUCUGUUGGAGGAGGAGCUCUCUGCCCAAGCAUCCUAAACCUUCACCCUCUAUAAUAGGCCAUUCAUUUAAGGUGCACAAUGACCCAGAGAGUUGGCUACUAUUAUUAUUCCUGUUUCACAUGUAAGGUUACUGAGGCUCAGAGAAGGCUGAAUAAUUUGCCCAAAUCUAUCGCUGAACCGCCCUAAAUGGACCCAAUCUUACAAGCUUGCUUGGUGCUUGGAUGGGAGGCUGCUUAUCACUGCCAGAAGCCCGAGGCUUUACAAUAAUAAUAAAUUCACCCACAAUUCCCAAACCAUGUGGUGCAAACAACAUCAGAAGCCAGAUUCCUUCAGCUCUAAAGAACACACACAAGUUCUGACUCACAAGUUCCAGGGCUGAGGCUGAGAAUCUGCAUUUGUAUAAAGCUCCUCUGUUACAGUUUGGAUUAAAAAUAAAAUGUGCCCAC